UACGAAGGGGGCUAGCGUUGUUCGGAAUCACUGGGCGUAAAGGGUGCGUAGGCGGGUCUUUAAGUCAGGGGUGAAAUCCUGGAGCUCAACUCCAGAACUGCCUUUGAUACUGAGGAUCUUGAGUUCGGGAGAGGUGAGUGGAACUGCGAGUGUAGAGGUGAAAUUCGUAGAUAUUCGCAAGAACACCAGUGGCGAAGGCGGCUCACUGGCCCGAUACUGACGCUGAGGCACGAAAGCGUGGGGAAGCAAACAGGGAUU
rnacentral:rRNA from 1 species